CCUCAAGUGAUCCGCCUGCCUUGGCCUCCCAAAGUGCUAGGAGUACAAGUGCGAGCCACUGCACCCAGCCUAGGUUGGUUUGUUUGUUUUUUGGUGUUGUUCAUUGCAUUACUCAUAUCGAAGUGGAAGUAUCUGUGACAAUUCUAUCCUUACUAUAGUAGCUAAUAUAAUAUCCUCCUAGUUACCUUUUCAACUAAGUUGCGUUAAGUUUCUUGAUAACAUUUAUCAUAUAAACACGGUUUUAUUUAUUUAUUUGUUGUCAUGCUUUUUUUUUUUUUUUACAAUCCAUGAAGGUGUCAAACACUUUAUGGCCAAGUCCAUGUCUGCUUGUUGAUUACUUAUCUCUGGGACCUUGUUCACUAUGUAGUACAAUAUAGACACUUGGUAUUUGUUAAUGAAGACAUGAUAAAUGUAUUAAAAUCUUGGGUGUGGUGGCUUAUGCCUGUAAUCCCAGCACUUUGGGAGGCUGAGGUGGGAGGCUGUGAUUGUUCCUCAGCUGAGCAGCAGCACCCUUCUGCCAAACUAUCCUUGAAAAACCUUGGCUUCUGAAUUUUCUGGGAGGCUGAUUUGAGUAAUAAUAAAAUUCAGGUCUCCAAUUUAGCCAACUCUGCCCAUAUUAAACUCUUUAUUGCAAUUCGCUGUCUUGACAAAUCAACUCUAUCUGGGCAACAGGCAAAAUGAACAUAUGGGCCAGUUACAGUUAUGUCCCUGUCAACCAUUAUUAUAGACUGUGAAUAUCAGGUGUUUACCUAAGUAAGAA
rnacentral:lncRNA from 10 species